rnacentral:rRNA from 1 species
UACGUAGGGCGCAAGCGUUAUCCGGAAUUAUUGGGCGUAAAGAGCUCGUAGGCGGUUUGUUGCGUCGGCUGUGAAAUCCCGAGGCUCAACCUCGGGUCUGCAGUCGAUACGAGCAAACUAGAGUGUUGCAGGGGGAGACUGGAAUUCCUGGUGUAGCGGUGAAAUGCGCAGAUAUCAGGAGGAACACCGGUGGCGAAGGCGGGUCUCUGGGCAACAACUGACGCUGGAGGAGCGAAAGCGUGGGGAGCGAACAGG